AAGAAACAACGGCGGCAAACGAAAUCACAACUGAUCCCUGCUAUAGCAAUCCGUGCCAGAAUGGAGGAACGUGUCACCCGAUGAAAGGAUGGUACAAGUGUUAUUGCGACUCCUACCACAGGGGACGGGAAUGCCAGUAUUAUGUUCCUUGUCAAAAUGGAGGAUAUGCGGAUUUACCCCAAGACUGUAACUGUCCAGUAGGCACGUGGGGCGGUUAUUGUGAAUAUGAA